GCGGGGGUAACUCAACGGUAGAGUCUCGCUCUUCCAAGGCGAUGGUUGCGGGUUCAAAUCCCGUCCCCCGCUCCA
rnacentral:tRNA from 2 species